AGCGAACGCUGGCGGCAGGCUUAACACAUGCAAGUCGAGCGGGCGUAGCAAUACGUCAGCGGCAGACGGGUGAGUAACGCGUGGGAACGUACCUUUUGGUUCGGAACAACACAGGGAAACUUGUGCUAAUACCGGAUAAGCCCUUACGGGGAAAGAUUUAUCGCCGAAAGAUCGGCCCGCGUCUGAUUAGCUAGUUGGUGAGGUAACGGCUCACCAAGGCGACGAUCAGUAGCUGGUCUGAGAGGAUGAUCAGCCACAUUGGGACUGAGACACGGCCCAAACUCCUACGGGAGGCAGCAGUGGGGAAUAUUGGACAAUGGGCGCAAGCCUGAUCCAGCCAUGCCGCGUGAGUGAUGAAGGCCCUAGGGUUGUAAGCUCUUUUGUGCGGGAAGAUAAUGACGGUACCGCAAGAAUAA
rnacentral:rRNA from 1 species